rnacentral:rRNA from 1 species
GAUGAACGCUGGCGGCGUGCCUAAUACAUGCAAGUCGAGCGAACAGAUGAGGAUCUUGCUCCUCUGACGUUAGCGGCGGACGGGUGAGUAACACGCGGAUAACCUACCCAUAAGACUGGGAUAACUUCGGGAAACCGGAGCUAAUACCGGAUAAUAUAUUUAACCGCAUGGUUCCAUAAUUAAUGAAGGUUUUGCUGUCACUGAUAGAUGGAUCCGCGCCGCAUUAGCUAGUUGGUAAGGUAACGGCUUACCAAUGCAACGAUGCGUAGCCGACCUGAGAGGGUGGUAGGCCAAACUGGAACUGAGACACGAUCCAGACUCCUACGGUAGGCAGCAGUAGGGAAUCUUCCGCAAUGGGCGAAAGCCUGACGGAGCAACGCCGCGUGAGUGAUGAAGGUCUUCGGAUCUUAAAACUCUGUUAUUAGGGAAGAACAAAUGUGUAAGUAACUAUGCACGUCUUGACGGUACCUAAUCAGAAAGCCACGGCUAACUACGUG